GACGAACGCUGGCGGCGUGCUUAACACAUGCAAGUCGAACGGAAAGGCCCUGCUUUUGUGGGGUGCUCGAGUGGCGAACGGGUGAGUAACACGUGAGUAACCUGCCCUUGACUUUGGGAUAACUUCAGGAAACUGGGGCUAAUACCGGAUAGGAGCUCCUGCUGCAUGGUGGGGGUUGGAAAGUUUCGGCGGUUGGGGAUGGACUCGCGGCUUAUCAGCUUGUUGGUGGGGUAGUGGCUUACCAAGGCUUUGACGGGUAGCCGGCCUGAGAGGGUGACCGGCCACAUUGGGACUGAGAUACGGCCCAGACUCCUACGGGAGGCAGCAGUGGGGAAUAUUGCACAAUGGGCGGAAGCCUGAUGCAGCAACGCCGCGUGCGGGAUGACGGCCUUCGGGUUGUAAACCGCUUUCGCCUGUGACGAAGCGUGAGUGACGGUAAUGGGUAAAGAAGCACCGGCUAACUACGUGCCAGCAGCCGCGGUGAUACGUAGGGUGCGAGCGUUGUCCGGAUUUAUUGGGCGUAAAGGGCUCGUAGGUGGUUGAUCGCGUCGGAAGUGUAAUCUUGGGGCUUAACCCUGAGCGUGCUUUCGAUACGGGUUGACUUGAGGAAGGUAGGGGAGAAUGGAAUUCCUGGUGGAGCGGUGGAAUGCGCAGAUAUCAGGAGGAACACCAGUGGCGAAGGCGGUUCUCUGGGCCUUUCCUGACGCUGAGGAGCGAAAGCGUGGGGAGCGAACAGGCUUAGAUACCCUGGUAGUCCACGCUGUAAACGGUGGGUACUAGGUGUGGGGUCCAUUCCACGGGUUCCGUGCCGUAGCUAACGCUUUAAGUACCCCGCCUGGGGAGUACGGCCGCAAGGCUAAAACUCAAAGGAAUUGACGGGGCCCCGCACAAGCGGCGGAGCAUGCGGAUUAAUUCGAUGCAACGCGUAGAACCUUACCUGGGUUUGACAUGGAUCGGGAGUGCUCAGAGAUGGGUGUGCCUCUUUUGGGGUCGGUUCACAGGUGGUGCAUGGCUGUCGUCAGCUCGUGUCGUGAGAUGUUGGGUUAAGUCCCGCAACGAGCGCAACCCUUGUUCACUGUUGCCAGCACGUUAUGGUGGGGACUCAGUGGAGACCGCCGGGGUCAACUCGGAGGAAGGUGGGGAUGACGUCAAGUCAUCAUGCCCCUUAUGUCCAGGGCUUCACGCAUGCUACAAUGGCUGGUACAGAGAGUGGCGAGCCUGUGAGGGUGAGCGAAUCUCAGAGAGCCGGUCUCAGUUCGGAUUGGGGUCUGCAACUCGACCUCAUGAAGUCGGAGUCGCUAGUAAUCGCAGAUCAGCAACGCUGCGGUGAAUACGUUCCCGGG
rnacentral:rRNA from 1 species